rnacentral:rRNA from 1 species
AGAGUUUGAUCCUGGCUCAGGACGAACGCUGGCGGCGUGCUUAACGCAUGCAAGUCGAACGAGGUCCAUCCAGCUUGCUGGUGAAGACCUAGUGGCGAACGGGUGAGUAACACGUGAGGAACCCACCCCGGAGACCGGGAUAACCCUCCGAAAGGAGAGCUAAUACCGGAUGCCGUCGGAGGAUCGCAUGGUCUUCCGACGAAAUGGAUUCCGCUCCGGGACGGCCUCGCGGCCUAUCAGCUUGUUGGUGGGGUAACGGCCUACCAAGGCGUCGACGGGUAGCUGGUCUGAGAGGACGGUCAGCCACACUGGGACUGAGACACGGCCCAGACUCCUACGGGAGGCAGCAGCGGGGAAUAUUGCGCAAUGGGCGAAAGCCUGACGCAGCAACGCCGCGUGAGGGAUGAAGGCUUUCGGGUUGUAAACCUCUUUCAGCAGGGACGAUUGUGACGGUACCUGCAGAAGAAGCCCCGGCCAACUACGUGCCAGCAGCCGCGGUAACACGUAGGGGGCGAGCGUUGUCCGGAUUUAUUGGGCGUAAAGAGCUCGUAGGCGGUUCGGUAAGUCGGGUGUGAAAACUCUGGGCUCAACUCAGAGACGCCACCCGAUACUGCUGUGACUUGAGUCCGGUAGGGGAGUAUGGAAUUCCCGGUGUAGCGGUGAAAUGCGCAGAUAUCGGGAGGAACACCAGUGGCGAAGGCGGUACUCUGGGCCGGAACUGACGCUGAGGAGCGAAAGCGUGGGUAGCGAACAGGAUUAGAUACCCUGGUAGUCCACGCCGUAAACGUUGGGCACUAGGUGUGGGUCUCAACCAACGGGAUCCGUGCCGCAGCUAACGCAUUAAGUGCCCCGCCUGGGGAGUACGGCCGCAAGGCUAAAACUCAAAGGAAUUGACGG